rnacentral:rRNA from 1 species
AGGCUUUGAUCCUGGCUCAGAACGAACGCUGGCGGCGUGGAUUAGGCAUGCAAGUCGAACGGGAUUCUUUGGAUUCAAGUUUUCGGACGAGAAUCCUUUGAUGAGAGUGGCGAACGGGUGAGUAUCGCGUGGGUAAUUUGCCCUGAAGUUGGGGAUAGCCAGUCGAAAGGCUGGAUAAUACCGAAUGUGGUCGUGUCGCGCAUGCGGCACUGUCUAAAGGUGGGGAUCUUCGGACCUGCCGCUUCAGGAUGAGCCCGCGUCCCAUCAGCUUGUUGGUAGGGUAACGGCCUACCAAGGCUUACGGGUAGCUGGUCUGAGAGGAUGGUCAGCCACACUGGGACUGAGACACUGCCCAGACUCCUACGGGAGGCUGCAGUCGAGAAUCAUUGUCAAUGCGCGAAAGCGCGAACAUGCGACGCCGCGUGCAGGAUGACGGCCUUCGGGUUGUAAACUGCUGUCUUGAGGGAACAAUAGCACGGAGGUAAAUAGCCUGUUGUGUGUGAUGGUACCUCAGGAGGAAGCCACGGCGA